rnacentral:rRNA from 1 species
GCUUACGGCCAUACCACCCUGAAUACGCCCGAUCUCGUCUGAUCUCGGAAGCUAAGCAGGGUCAGGCCUGGUUAGUACUUGGAUGGGAGACCGCCUAGGAAUACCAGGUGCUGUAAGCU